GAUGAACGCUGGCGGCGUGCCUAAUACAUGCAAGUCGAGCGAACAGAUGAGGAGCUUGCUCCUCUGACGUUAGCGGCGGACGGGUGAGUAACACGUGGAUAACCUACCUAUAAGACUGGGAUAACUUCGGGAAACCGGAGCUAAUACCGGAUAAUAUAUUGAACCGCAUGGUUCAAUAGUGAAAGACGGUUUUGCUGUCACUUAUAGAUGGAUCCGCGCCGCAUUAGCUAGUUGGUAAGGUAACGGCUUACCAAGGCAACGAUGCGUAGCCGACCUGAGAGGGUGAUCGGCCACACUGGAACUGAGACACGGUCCAGACUCCUACGGGAGGCAGCAGUAGGGAAUCUUACGCGAGGGGCGAAAGCCUGACGGAGCAACGCCGCGUGAGUGAUGAAGGUCUUCGGAUCGUAAAACUCUGUUAUUAGGGAAGAACAAAUGUGUAAGUAACUAUGCACGUCUUGACGGUACCUAAUCAGAAAGCCACGGCUAACUACGUG
rnacentral:rRNA from 1 species